rnacentral:lncRNA from 1 species
AGCUUUCUUUGCGUUUGCAGAAAUUCGUUAUGCGGAUGGCACAAAUCAAACUGUCAUCCAUACCUGUAAUCACGCCGACAAUGUUGCGCGGGUUAUUAUUUUAAUUGUUUCCUUGAAGAAGAAGACGAAGCGAAGAAGAAGAAGACGAGGUGCUCCUGAAGCUUCUUUUACUGCCCUCGCACAUGCGGGAGAGCGCGUUUUCUCGAGGAUGUAUAAUUAUAAUGCGGUUGCGUUCGCCGCACUUGGCGUGCCGAGUUAUUAUACCGUCCCCCCAGCUUAUAGACAGGUUAAUUUAGAUAUCGUAAAGCCGUGCCGGGACGAUAACUCUGUAUUGACUUUAGUAAUCGCUGUGUGUAGAGCAUCGGCUAAAAAGGUGGGAAGAGAAGAAUCUCGCAAACAAACGAGAGAGAGGAUAAAGAAAAAAAAACGAGAGAGAGAGGGACAAGCGACUGCAGCGUCGCCAAAAAUCCCUCCGACUUCAUUUCUCUCCCGCAGCGCUGCUCCUCUUUCGUCGCGGCUCUUGAGCUUUGUUGACGGCGAUUGUUCGAAAGACGUCGCGCUUGCACUUGGCUCGAGUCCACGCCAGCAUCACUGUAUAUUAUAGUCCCGCUGUGUUUGUUUGCGUCUCCCGCACCUACGCGGCGGGUUUGAUAUUCCGCUUGUUUGUCGGCGCCCGCUUUGAUUCGCCGAUGAUUGAGACGUAUCCCGAGAAGAUAUGCGCGCGUUUCGCUUUCGAUGCGUAUAUAAUGAUAAUGCGAGAAAGAAAAGCGAUGCGCCGGGAGAAAAAAGAGCUGUGUGUUCUCGAAACUUGCGUCGUCGACCGUAUGCGCACGCACGUCGCACGUGCGAAUAAUUUUUCCGUUCGAUGAUCCCGUCGGCGCAGCAACAGCGCCAUUCCCUAUACACUGCUGCAGGAUGACGCGCGUUUCGUGCGUAAGGUCGUGGUUAUGUGCAUUAUAUGUAUACGACACUCGACUUGGUCAUCAAGGACUCGUCGCUCUCGUCGCAGCAUAGGUCGCCGACUUUUCACUGCAGGUAUUUACUUGCGCGCGCAGGUGGACCUUCCUCCUUAUCUUUUAUUUGACUUUUUAUUCCACACGCGGACAUAUACACCGCCGCCAGAUUUCCUUCACUUUUAGAGAGAGAUGCGGGCUCUGCAAUUUUUCAGCUGCGCUCUCGAAGGCUGCGAUUGUUUCGCCUGUGUGCGGGUUGCCUUUUUCAGUAUUAUACAUACAUGCGCGUUUAAUGAAAAAAAAAAAAAAAUGUUAUUGCAUUCGUGCCUUUUCCGUCGCUCCUACAACGUUGUGCAAUUCACGGAAGCCCGCGCGAAAUUCCUGGAAAAGUCGCGCGCUUUCCGUAAACUGCGGGAGGGGCCGUUUCGUGGAAGAAGUGUACUCGAGGUACGACGCAGAGUGUAGUAGCUUUCACUGUCUCUCGACGGGAGCAGCAGCUGUAUACUGCAAGUAGAUAGAGGACUGGGUCGAGUCAGACGUGUGCGGUUUAUUUUAUUUUUAAACCCGGUGGAAUAUAAAGAGCGAGGCGCGCGCGCGGCGCCGGAUGCCUCGCGUUGCUUUCCCGCAGGAAAAUUCAACGAAUGAACGGUCGGCCGCUCCGUUUCUAUAGCCUUUCUUUAUUUUUAUUCGCGGGCCUUUCUCGAUCUUCCAUUUGCCGCUGAUGUCACACGCUACGCACCGUCGGACUGUCCGAUUUCGUGUAAUUUUAGAUCUACAAGAGAGCGACAGCGCGAAUCGAAUAAAAGUCGAAGAAGCACAUCUUGUACGAGAGUUACUCGGAGAGUCACACAGAACGCUCUCGCGCGAGCGAACGAGCGAGCGAGCGAGCGACGAUGGCGCUUAUAUACGUGUGUGCAGAGUGCGAAGGAGUGGUUGGCCACCCCUGGCCUGGAUACCGCGGCGUGUUGUUCACCUCUCCGCGUGUGAAAGUACUCGCUGCAGCGCAAGCGCGUGUGGGCAGUCGCUACGCACACACACACACACAAUCGCGCGCGCUGCUAUCUGUCUCUCUUUCGCUGCGUGUCAUAACGAGAUGCAUCGGGCCGGCUGGAGGAGAGGCGGCCAGUGUGUGUGUUUGUGUGUGUGUUCGUGUAUGUGACAAGCGGAUAGAUAGACACCGGCGCGGCGGAGACAACGAGUAAACACACUAAGUUUAACCGACUAUAGCAAGAGAGAGAGAGAGAGAGAGAGAGAGAGAGAGAGAGAGAGAGAGAGAGAGAGAGAGAGAGAGAGAGAGAGAGAGAGAGAGAGACAGAUAAAGCACUGCUGCCGCUGAGAAACAAACCGCUCGCGCGCGCACUACGCUGCAGUAGUGCGGAGAAGAAACACGUCGAGAGAGUGAGAGUGCGCCGCCUGCGAGCGGCGGAUAAUGAUGAGAGAGCGACUCGUGCGUGCGCACACGAGGAAAAAGAGCGACCCAUUGCCUGGAAAAUAUACGUUUGUUUUUUUUUUCAACGUACUCCUUUCUUUUUCGGACGAGGAGAGGGAAGUACGACUUUUCCUCCUACGUUGCUGGGAAAAAGUGAUUAUUUUUCUGAAAAAAACAAACGCGUAUCACACAUUGGAUCAGCUAACGCCGUAGCGUACGCGUGGACGAGAAGAAAAAUGUAAACACCGCCGUAACAACUUUUGCCGCUUGCGCAACAUUUUCUUCUCAUUAGCGGUAACAAAUAGUUACGAAAAUUUUGAAAGUAGAAAACUGCCAACUCCACGGCGUUCGGUGUAUCUAUACAGGCACACCACACACGGACACACGGCCACAAAGCUCGAGCUAGCGGCUAUAAAUAAAUGAUUGAUUAUUACCUGACCCGCUAUUUUUACACCCAACACUCUAUAUCCGUAUUCGCCCCGAGAAAAGGCUUUAGAGUGUGCGCCGCGGAUACCAAACUCGGCGGCUCACUCUCUCGGAUUAUAAGAUAGUCCUAUCGAUAGUCGAUGCCGCGAACAAAAGAGAGAAUACAGCUGCCUACGCGCGCGUUCUGGAGAAAAAGGGACGCGUGAUCCAUCGGCCGAUGACGUCAGGCUUAUAUAGUUUCGCAUUACUGGCCUGCAUAUCGUCACCUGCGACGGUGGUCGCGCCUCCGCAUAGGUGACCGCAGGACACUCGGCUGCGCCUCGAAUUCUCGUGGGAACGAUCUAGUUGCGAGGAUAUCUGUUCUUCUGAAAAAUAGGUCGUCGGUACAUUUCAAUUUGAAAGUGCGAAGUCGGAGCUUGCGCCCGCGAAGUCUUACAGUGCUCGGCUUUUUCUACUGCGAGGUGUAGUUUAAGCAGACCUUUAACUCUCUUUCUUUUAUCGGUGACUUAUGACAAAUAGCGGGAACUAUGCUGCUAUUAAUUUUUCAAAAUACUCCAACAGCAAUCGAACUCGAAUUCGAAAUCGUUCACCGCAGAGAAAAGCGGCAAAGAGCUCAAUACGUCAAGUCGGACGAUCAAUACAGUAUAGGCCGUAUUCAAAGGAACACACACACGGGUACACAAUGCUCGGCGUGGAAAAAGAGCUGGAACGAAGCUCGACUUCUGCGGGAAAAAGCAUAAUAGCGGCGCCAGCGUCGAAGGAACAGCCGUGGUAGUGUGCUGCACGAGAGCUCGGAGGCGCGCGCGCGGAUGUACCGUUAGGGCAACGCCGCUGCAGCGGCGCCGGUUAGUGUGGCAGUGUGUUAGCCGAGCUCGGUGUAUACCGCCGCUGCUGCUUCUCUUUUCUCUCGCUCUCGCACCGUCGAGUCGUGCGGCCUUUUAUUCCGCGGUUUUCGUGACGUUGCUAUUCGGUCUUUGGGUUGUACUGUGGAAGAAAGUUUUCUUUUUAUCGAUUUUAUUGGGAAAUGUGUGAUAACUAAACGCUUGGAUCACUUCUUUUUAAAGUAUCGUGGAUUUAAUAAUCGAGAUAGCUGCAGGAAUGGUUAAUAACAUAAUAACACCGUACGAAGAAAAAAAGGCUGACGACUAGUUCACAAUGUUGUUAAACACAGCCAAUACUGAAAAUAAUUUUAAAAAAUUCAACACAACCAAUAAUGAAGAUUUUGAAGCAGUCGAAAAUAUAACCUUUGCUUCAGGUGCACACCAGGGAAAAGGUGCAAGAUGUAUUGCAGUAUGUUCUUGUGCAUUAAAUGCGUUUAUUUCAACCUAAGGAACCAUAUAUAAAAUUAGACAAAGUGGCCGACAUUAACUCUGCAGGCAACUACAGCAUAAGCGGCUGAAGCGGUGUAUAACAAAAGGCAGUUUUGGUAUAGGUGACAUACCGCUAUGUAUAAACUAGGUUUGCCAAUAGCGAUGAGAGAAAUGAAAAACCGCUACUGCGCCACCUGUCGUCAAAGAUUCAGACUCGGAAAGUUAAAGCGUAUCGGGAAGGGAUCAGUUCCAAACUAUACUUUGUUUUGCAGUGUAUCGCAGUCUCCCCACAAUAAGCACAAAUCCAAAUUAUCAUUAAUCUUGAAUAGCAUUUUCCUACGGUUCACUUCUAAGUGACCUUCCUAAAUUUACAUUUCAAAUUUACAUCGUAUACGCGACCAUCGAAACGCAAACAACAUCUUUUCAUCUCAAUACAGUAGAGAUCAUGCGCCUAUCGAGUGAAAAUCGAAGAAAAACAAAGUCAUUGCGCUCGCUGGACUCCGCCUCUCCAGCAGCAGCUUAUAACUCAAGACAAUUUUUCCGCGUGCACAAUAGUCUCGUCGAGAUUUUCCUCCUCUCCUCCUCUCUCUCUCUCUCUCUCUCUCUCUCUCUCUCUCUCUCGCGUGCCAAGCUCCGCCGCCGCCGAUCAUGGCAACGCUUGGAUCGUCGCGAUUGACACCGUGACACAGCAAUGUCACACUCGCACGCGCACACAUGACCACACAGAUCUAUUCUCUAUCCCCUCCCCUUUGAUUCUCGACGUUAAAAGACAAUUAAUCUGAAUAACGUGCGUCGCGGCGCGGUAGCCUAGACCCGCUGCUGUGGCCCAAUGUGGUUACUCACACCGGCCAAAAUGUGUCGUCACGUGCGUGCGCGCGAGCGUUCAGUAGAAAAUCUCUGUAUUUGUGUAUAGAGCUGCGGCGCUCGAUUAGAACAUUUUACGAGCGCGGGGGUCCUUUUUAUUGAUUCAUUAGGCUGAAUUUUACGAGCGUCCAUUAGAAUAUUUUGUUGCGCUAAUGCUGCCAUUGUGCGAUACACACACUCACGCCGCUGCUGCUGAAUGGCCGGAUUGAAGUUUAUUGCCCGCGGCUGAUUUAUGUGGCGCUAGUUGACUCUAUAUAAUACACAACGCGGCGGGGCUUGCUGCAGAAAAAAAUUUUGUCUUUCCGUUAAUGGAUUAGCUCGUCACCUCGAGCCUGGCUUUUAUGACCGGCUUUGUUGCGCCGAGCUGUGUAAUGUGCCGGCUUUUCUUCUCGCCUCUGAUGAUGCCUGUGUAUUGUGCGUUUGUUUGCGCUACUGCUAUAUGCCGUCGCGGCUCGUCAAAGCAUGAAAUUAA